CCGAGGAAAAGAAAUCAACCGAGAUUCCCCCAGUAGCGGCGAGCGAACGGGGAGCAGCCCAGAGCCUGAAUCAGUGUGUGUGUUAGUGGAAGCGUCUGGAAAGGCGCGCGAUACAGGGUGACAGCCCCGUACACAAAAAUGCACAUGCUGUGAGCUCGAUGAGUAGGGCGGGACACGUGGUAUCCUGUCUGAAUAUGGGGGGACCAUCCUCCAAGGCUAAAUACUCCUGACUGACCGAUAGUGAACCAGUACCGUGAGGGAAAGGCGAAAAGAACCCCGGCGAGGGGAGUGAAAAAGAACCUGAAACCGUGUACGUACAAGCAGUGGGAGCACGCUUAGGCGUGUGACUGCGUACCUUUUGUAUAAUGGGUCAGCGACUUAUAUUCUGUAGCAAGGUUAACCGAAUAGGGGAGCCGAAGGGAAACCGAGUCUUAACUGGGCGUUAAGUUGCAGGGUAUAGACCCGAAACCCGGUGAUCUAGCCAUGGGCAGGUUGAAGGUUGGGUAACACUAACUGGAGGACCGAACCGACUAAUGUUGAAAAAUUAGCGGAUGACUUGUGGCUGGGGGUGAAAGGCCAAUCAAACCGGGAGAUAGCUGGUUCUCCCCGAAAGCUAUUUAGGUAGCGCCUCGUGAAUUCAUCUCCGGGGGUAGAGCACUGUUUCGGCAAGGGGGUCAUCCCGAC
rnacentral:rRNA from 1 species